ACCAAGAUGAAAAAGGGACUAUCGGGGAUGACUAGCCAAUACAUCCAAAGGAGGUAGUUUAUACCAAAAAUCGUAAUGAAUGAUUUGAUAAUUACGAUGAUCCUAAGGGAAACCAAUAUAAUAAUAACUCUACGAACUGAAACAUCUAAGUAGUAGAAGGAAAAGAAAUCAACCGAGAUCCCGUUAGUAGUGGUGAGCGAAAGCGGGUUAGCCUAUUUUCUAGCCUAAUGGAUUUAUUCCAUUGGGUAAGUUCUUCUUUAGAAGAAUUUAGAUUAGCUUAUAAUUUGUUUGGAAUGACAAACCAUAGAGGGUGAAAGUCUCCCGUAAUAAGAUAAACUAGAAAAAUAGUAAGUAAGAUGAGAGAUAACUUGUCUGAAUAUAGGGGAACCAUCCUCUAAGGCUAAAUAUGAUGUAUUGAGCGAUAGUGAAGAGUACCGUGAGGGAAAGUUGAAAAGUAAGUAGGUAACUGGUGAAAAGAUCCUGAACCGGUAGUUCUAUAAGCAGCAGGAAUCUGAGUUUAAAUACAAGAUAACUGCGUACCUUUUGCAUAAUGGGUCAGCGAGUUAAUCUGUGGUGCAAGUAGAAAUACUUAGCGAAAGCGACUACGUUAAAUGGGUAAGUACCAUGGAUUAGACCCGAAACCAGGUGAUCUUACCAUGACCAGGUCAUUAAGGACCGAACCAGUGCCUGUGGCAAUAGGCUUGGAUGAGUUGUGGUAAGUGGCGAAAGGCCAAUCUAACCUGGAGAUAGCUGGUAUUCCGCGAAACAUAUUUUGGUAUGUUGUCCUUCGUAUCUGUAAACUGGUACAGCACUGGAUACUAUGUCCCUUGUGGACUUGAUUGGGGGGUCGUGAUGGCUCUAUCAAUAGAAUCGGUUAUUUAACCGAUUCCCAAACAUUUAUUGUUUGGGAAUCUAACCUCGGAAUGGUUUACAGUUAAUAAAGGACGGUCAGACUAUAGGUGCUAAGGUCUUUAGUCGAGAGGGAAACAGCCCAGAACAAGAAUUAAGGUCCCUAAAUACUACUAAGUGAAAUUAAGGUAGUCCAUGAAAUUACACAACCAUUCGGUGGGCUUGGAAGCAGCCAUCCGUUAAUGAAAGCGUAAUAGCUCAAUGGUCUGUAUUUAUAAGAACUUCUCCUUUGGAGAUAGUUUAGCGGACGGCGCUACGCGCCGGCCGGGGUUUCAAGGGCACCGACAAUGUAUCGGGUCUAAGUAGUAUACCGAGAUCUUGUCCCAACAUUAUAAAGAAUGUAGGAGGGUAGCGGAACACUCAGGACAUGGUUGAAGGAUAGGGUUUCCUUAUCUGGACAUAACUGAGGAGAGAAUGCUGACAUGAGUAACGUAAAAGUGGAUAAAAUCCCACUCGCCGAAAGCAGAAGGGUUUCAUGGCUAGGCUCAACCUCCAUGAGUAAAGUAACGGCCUCUAAGAUUUUUAAAGCGAGGGCGCCUCGGCGCCCAAGUCAGGUCGGGGAAACCCGGCCGGGCUCUAUAUGAGUGAACUCCGAUAGGAGUAAUCGAUGAGAAAAACUAAUUUAGAUAACAGUUUUAAUAUUAAUCUAUAUCAGUAAUGGUGUAGUAUUAGUUUAAAAUUCAGGAAAUGAUCUAAUUAUUUAACCGUACCCUAAACCGACACUGGUCUGCUGGUAGAAUAUACCAAGGCGUUGAGCGAAUCAUCUUGAAGGAACUCGGCAAAAUGACUCCGUAACUUCGGGAGAAGGAGUACGAAUUUUUAUGAUCGUGGCACAGAAUAGAAGAGUACGACUGUUUACUUAAAACACCGGUCUUUGCUAAUAGGAAACUAGAUGUAUAAAGACUGAUACCUGCUCAGUGCUGGUAAGUCAAGAGAGGCACUAAUACGGUGCUGAUUGAACCUCCAGUAAACAGCGGUUGUAACUAUAACGAUCCUCAGGUAGCUCCAAUUAAAGGAGAAGAAUAAUUAUUCGCUGCCCCUGACAUAAGUGAUUAUGUCUUGAACCUAACUAUAUGCUGGAAAAUCCUUAGAGUCUUUAAUACUAGUGAUCAUUGAUUACAGUGACAAUUUAAAGAAUUGGACAAUCAGCAGGGAAGUCGUUGUUGACCCCUCAGAGACUACACGUUGGGGAUCUGUUUACAAUAAGUAAUCUUAAUCAUAUAAGUAAGGUAUAUCUUACCUUACAUUAAACCAUAUUAUUAAAUAGUCGCAAGGGAGAUACUAAUGACUCGGCCCUAUAAAUUAUAAUUAUGUAUACAAAUAAAUUAUAUGAUUCUAAAAUUCUUAACCCACAUUGGGUAUUAGGUUUUGUGGAUGGUGAAGGAUGUUUUCAUGUAAGUGUAUCAAAAAAUAAUAACACUUCAUUAGGAUAUCAAGUAACAUUAGAAUUUACUAUUUCACAACACAUUCGAGAUAAAGAAUUAAUGAUGAAAUUAAUUAAGUUUUUUGGAUGUGGUUAUGUCACACAGACUACAUCUAACCAUUUACAAUUUCGUAUUAGAAAUAGAAAUGAUUUAAGAACUAAAUUAUAUCCAUUUUUUGAUAUUUAUCCACCACUAACUAUUAAGUCUUUAGAUUAUUUAGAUUUUAAAUUGGUUCAUUCAAUGUUAGAUGAUAAACUUCAUUUAACUCAAGAAGGGUUAGAUAAGAUUAGAACUAUUCAAACUAGAAUGAAUCGAAAUAGAAAUUAAACAGAUCAUGAUAUAGUCCAAGCCACAUUGAAAGAUGUGGACCCAGGAUAACAACGGCCUUAUUCUUAAUUGAGUGGGGCUCCGUUGUUUAUCCGACAUUUAUUGCGUGGAAUUUGAGCGAAAUACCUUGGCCACUAAUUAUGGUCGCGCAUGAAUGGUUUAACGAUACUCUUACUGUCUCCAAGAUGAGCUCAGUGAAAUUGAAUUAUCCGUGCAGAUGCGGAUUACCAUUAGCUAGACGGGAAGACCCUAUGCAGCUUUACUGUAGUUAGUCAUUGUGUGCUUAUAAUUAAGGUGUAGAAUACAAGGGAGUCGAUUAGACAUCAGUGAAAUACCUUGACUUGAUUAGGAGCACGCUAUACGGAAUUAUUCCGGACAGUGAUUAAUGGGCAGUUUAUCUGGGGCGGAUUUCUCCCAUAUAGUACCGGAGAAGUACAAAGGUCGGCUUAAAUUGGAUGGAAACCAAUGGGUUAAAGAGAACCUAAUUAAGUGUAAUGGCAUAAGCCGGCUUAACUGUAAGACUGACAAGUCAUACAGAUACGCAAGUAGGUCAUAGUGAUCCGGUGGUCCAUUAUGGAAUGGCCAUCGCUCAACGAAUAAAAGCUACGCUAGGGAUAACAGGCUGAUCAAUCUCGAGAGUCCAUAUUGACAGAUUGGUUUGGCACCUCAAAAAAAACAUCGGGGAGUCUCGGUGGUAACACUGAGAUAGACUUUGGCUG
rnacentral:rRNA from 1 species